rnacentral:lncRNA from 1 species
CUCAACCAUGCAUCUUCAUGUCAACAUGCAUUUAAAAUAAAUACUUUUACACAUCAUUUGUAAACAAAAGUCCAUUCUUUUAUAAACUUAAUUCUAUCAAACAUUUUUAGAAUCGUAACGCGAAUACAUAAUCAAAGUAGAGAGAAACACACAAGACUUGGUCACACGGUUUGACCAAAUUACUUACGUCUGCGAGUGUAGAGUAGUUAAAGUUCAAUUUUAUUGAUUCGUUCUAUAUACAAUACUUAGGUUUAAUUCGGUGUUACAAACAUAUUUAUAUAGAGAUACUAAUGAUUCAGAUUACCACAAUACCUCUGGACUGUACCAAGGAGGCAAAGCCCCUCGCACCCCCCACAUCCCAAAUCGUACUCCAAAACAGUUGGGCCAAACGCAAGGGCGAGGCUCGCUGCGGUCGCUCGCCCAUUGAUCGUACCCAUGAGCCAUACUAAAAAACAUAAUUAUAUUUAUAUAGCAAACUUUAUUUUUCCCAACCUAAUUUUACCCAACGAUAAACACCCUUAGUAGUGAGGGAUUUUAAUCAAAAUUAUGUUGAAC